rnacentral:lncRNA from 1 species
GCGAGGCUAAGCGAGGCGAAGGGUCUGGAGGCCGCUCAAGGCCCCCAGAAGCUCUGAAAAAAAUGACGCAAAAUCGUGCAUUCUGACCGUUUCCCGGACUCUUUCUUACUCUGAAACGCAAUUAAUUUUUAGCUAUUUUUCGACAAUAUUCUGGUCUCAAAGCAAAAUAUAUAGAUUCAUUGUAAAUAAAAACUUUUAGGUUUAAGGGACAACAUCAAAAGACCGAUAUGUAGGAUAAAGCAAAAAUCGUAAUUCUCAUAAUCAUUUUAAUACCAGAUCUGUCUGUUCUUGUCUUGUAUUGUGUUUAGACUUUGGAGAAUUUUUUUUAUGACUGAAUUUAGAUAUAGUGGCAGUGCAGUAUUAUACUUUAAGUACCGCUUAAGUCGACAUUAGGAACCAUCUUGACUUUGUUUUAUGGUAUUUAUGAUUCUUUCAUUGCUGAAGACCCUCAGGCCAGCGACUAUCAAGAUGAAGAUUAGGGAUAAAAACCCUGAUCAUAGAUAAUUUGUAUUUUUUCUAUGUAUUGACUUUGUGUGCGAUUAAGUCCCGUGCACGUUUACUCCAUAUUCCUUUAUUUUGUAUUAAAGGGUCUGAACACGACUUAAUUGCAAGCGCUUCAAUGUAAAAGGUCAUAUAUGGCAAUACAUUGUUGUUUUUUUUUCAAAUGAUUUGAUACCGCGAGAUUGGUGGUCUCACUUUAAUUUAACCCAUGUCAGCUAUCUAGUUUUAUCUACAAAAAGAGAGCCAGUUUUGUAUUCUUUAAUAUUAAAUUCAAUUCUCCAUGAAGAAACGAUCAUUUUUUUCUGUGUCCAGUAGCAUCGUAUCUUCUUAAAAUAUUUUCUCGCACAAUGUCUGGACAUCGGUGGACAUGCAACAUUGCCAAAAACCACACAACCGUUCACCCGUCAUCGUAGAUCUAAUUUCAAAUAUUCUUACAAUUGAAUGUAGUUUUUUUUCAAUUAAACAAAAGGUCCUUCAGUAUAAGAAAACUCAAGUUUUAAACAAAAUUACUAGAUUUACAAAAGAAAAUCAACACUUAGACUAUAGUCAUAAAGUAGGACAAUAAAUGAACAAAAGACAAACCCGGGUACAGAUAAGACACAUACCUACAAACAAUAGACCAUCAACACUGAAAACUAAAAGUAAAUUAGAAACAUAGAUCACGAAAAACAUGCAGGGGCGACAUCAGAGAGUGAAGAGAACUUGCUUCUUGCAAGACACUCGCCGUGAAAACAAUUUGAUAUGAAGACAAGCUUUUGUUUCAUUUUUUUUUUUUCAAAUUUCCAACAUGAGGCAUUUGCCUCAUUUGCCUCCAUGUAGUUACGGCCCUG